GCGGGGACCCGGCAGGGGGGCCGGCAGGGGGUUUCCGCCCGCACCCACGCCCUAAGUCGCACCCGGUGGCUACCGAGGCGGGGGUGGCGGAGCCACAGUGCGCGCGGGCCUCCGGGGCGGGGACGAGGAGGGCCCUGGGACUGGGAGGGGUCAGGCCCUGCCCUCCCCUCCCGGUGCACCCGCUGUCUCCCGCGCGGACCCGGAACUGGUGUUGCGGCGGGCCGGUCGGUCCCGGGGAGAGCGUCCGAGCGAUCCCGAGGUGUGAUCGCAGCGCCGCCACUUGCUACGUGGGGACCUGGAUCAAGUCGCUGCACCUGAGCCGAAUCUCUACAAAAAAAAAAAAAGGAGCCCUAGGCCACGCCAUUCAUUGGGCGCCCACUGUAUACCAGGCCCUGUUGGGGGCACCGAAAGAGAGUUGCACUCGGCGUGAAGAUGCCCUCAGAGCUACCUGCCGCAGGUAGCUGUGAGGACCCCGCAGGUAGAGAUUAGAAAACUGGACUCAGGAAAUGUUAGGCGUUUACGAGUGUUUUUAAAUGUGCUAACAGAGAACCAGCCCAGUUGCCCAGUGGGGUUGCCUCACUCCACAGAGUGACUCAGAAAGUUUUUUUUUUCCUUUUCCUUUUUUCUCUCUCACUCGCUCCAUUUAACAACUAUCUGUUGAGUUUGGUCUAGAAAGCAGAACUAGGAUUCUGGCCGUGCUGAUAAUACCUGCCCUCCCUGGCUUGCUCACUCUAUUUUGUGAGAAUCAAAUCAGGUCAGCUGCGACAGGAUUGUAACUGGUUAGUGUUGCACAAAUGGCGGGAAUUGUUACCACAGGUCAGGCCAUGUCCUAGGCCCCCAUCCUCAGGGAGCUCAGAGUCAAAAGCUGCCACUGGCAUAAAAAACAAUACAAGUAAGUGAUUAAGGGCUGUGUUACGGGAAUUCAAAGAGAGUGGGACUUAAGAAUUUUUUCAGUUGGUAAGCGUUUAUUGAGCACCUACUGUAUACUGAGCACUGUUCUAGGCUCUAAGGAUAGAGUAAUGAAUUUGACAGUCCCAGUCCAUGACGUGAUAGAGGUGGACCCUUGGAGGAAAGACAAUCACCUGGUAAGUAAACAUCGUGUCAGGUGGUGAUUAGAGGUGGAGAACACUCAGGGCGAGGGAAUAGGCAGGCAGAUUAGCCAAGUGGGCCAAGGGGAGGGCUAAUUUAGAAAGUAACAUUUGAUCACAGGGAGGCACAAGAACCAGAUAGGGCACAGACCCAAAGGGGACAGUCUCUGGUGUGUUCAUGGACCAAGGAGGCCCAUGGACUGGGCGGCCCAGUUUAACUAGGGGGAGAGCCCUGGAAGCUGAGGUCGGAGGGACACCAAGCAGUGACAGGAUCAGGCCUAGGCUUGAGCAGGAUCAGGAGGUUGCUGUGUUCUGGAUGGACUGUAGGGGGCUAGGGCCAGUAGAAAGCUAUUUAAGGCAUGUUUUAUUUAUUUAAAAAGCACUUAGAUGGGGUUUCCUAUGUGAUGAACACCGUUAAGCACUUUACAAAUAAUAAUUCACUUCAUCCUCAAAACAGAGGCCCGAAGAGGUAAACUGAAAGUCACACAGCAGAGAGACGAAGGUGCCUACUACCCUGGGGACACAGUGGACGCAGCAAGGGAAGACCCCUUUCUGGAUGUUUGCUGAUGGCCUGGCGGUGGGCACAGGAAGAAGAAAGGAGUCAGGAAUGAUGCUAAGAUUUUUAGCUGGAUCAACACUGGAAGGGUACUGAAGUGCCCAAGACAUCCAGGUGAGUUCACUUAAGAGGUGAAUGUAGAGGAGAAGAGGUCAAGAAGAUAAAGAGGAACCAGCAAGGAGACUGAGAAGGAGUGACCUGGGAGGGUAGCAAGACGACAAAGAGAAGCUGUGAUUGCUGUAGGUACGUAGCACAGGCAGGUCACCUGUUCCACUUCCUCUUCCCGGACGCAAACAUCGUCUGUAUUUCCCAGCCUCCUUGGAGCCAGCCGAAUGCAGAGGAAGCAAGAGAAGACUCCACGGUGGAAGAAGCCUGAAUCCCCUCCCAGGACAGUUCACAGUCCCAGUGUCUCAGGGAGAAAAUAAACCUGUAUGGUCCAACCCAAAUGUUCACCAGUCUGGUAAAAGACUCUGGGGACCAUGCCAGAAAUAUAGCUGUCUUCGUCACCGUCCACUUCUUCCUUUCUGCCUCCACCAUCCCGAUCAUAAACUGGGCUCUCUGCUGAAUACGUGCAUCUUCUUUCCCCCUGCAAUGUUGAAAGAGCAGGCGAUAAAGCCCCUAUCUCCUGGUUUCCACAUCUAUAAAAUGGGGGUGUGAUACCUACCACAUACAAUUGUUGU